rnacentral:rRNA from 1 species
AUUGAACGCUGGCGGCAGGCUUAACACAUGCAAGUCGAGCGGAGUGAUGGUGCUUGCACUAUCACUUAGCGGCGGACGGGUGAGUAAUGCUUAGGAAUCUGCCUAUUAGUGGGGGACAACAUCUCGAAAGGGAUGCUAAUACCGCAUACGUCCUACGGGAGAAAGCAGGGGAUCACUUGUGACCUUGCGCUAAUAGAUGAGCCUAAGUCGGAUUAGCUAGUUGGUGGGGUAAAGGCCUACCAAGGCGACGAUCUGUAGCGGGUCCGAGAGGAUGAUCCGCCACACUGGGACUGAGACCCGGCCCAGACUCCUACGGGAGGCAGCAGUGGGGAAUAUUGGACGAUGGGGGGAACCCUGAUCUAGCCAUGCCGCGUGUGUGAAGAAGGCCUUAUGGUUGUAAAGCACUUUAAGCGAGGAGGAGGCUCUUUUGGUUAAUACCCAAGAUGAGUGGACGUUACUCGCAGAAUAAGCACCGGCUAACUCUGUGCCAGCCGCCGCGGUAA